AUGAACGCUGGCGGCGUGCCUAACACAUGCAAGUCGAACGGAGUAUCAUUGAAGAAAGCUCUUCGGAGAAGUUAUUUGAGGAUACUUAGUGGCGGACGGGUGAGUAACGCGUGGGGAACCUGCCCCAUACCGGGGGAUAGCAGCUGGAAACGGCUGAUAAUACCGCAUAAGCGCACAGCUUCGCAUGAAGCAGUGUGAAAAACUCCGGUGGUAUGGGAUGGACCCGCGUCUGAUUAGCCAGUUGGCAGGGUAACGGCCUACCAAAGCGACGAUCAGUAGCCGGCCUGAGAGGGCGGACGGCCACAUUGGGACUGAGACACGGCCCAAACUCCUACGGGAGGCAGCAGUGGGGGAUAUUGCACAAUGGAGGAAACUCUGAUGCAGCGACGCCGCGUGAGUGAAGAAGUAUUUCGGUAUGUAAAGCUCUAUCAGCAGGGAAGAAAGGCCCGCAAGGGAGAUGACGGUACCUGAGUAAGAAGCUCCGGCUAAAUACGUGCC
rnacentral:rRNA from 1 species